rnacentral:rRNA from 1 species
UACGGGGGGAGCAAGCGUUGUUCGGAUUUACUGGGCGUAAAGGGCGCGUAGGCGGCCACCGCAAGUCAGUUGUGAAAGCUCUGGGCUUAACCCAGAAAGGUCAACUGAUACUGCGGGGCUAGAGUGCAGAAGGGGCAACUGGAAUUCUCGGUGUAGCGGUGAAAUGCGUAGAUAUCGAGAGGAACACCUGCGGCGAAGGCGGGUUGCUGGGCUGACACUGACGCUGAGGCGCGAAAGCUAGGGGAGCGAACGGG